rnacentral:rRNA from 1 species
UACGAAGGGGGCUAGCGUUGUUCGGAAUUACUGGGCGUAAAGCGCGCGUAGGCGGUGUGCAUAGUCAGGGGUGAAAUCCCGGGGCUCAACCUCGGAAUUGCCUUUGAUACUGGCACGCUUGAAUCCGUGAGAGGGUGGUGGAAUGGCCAGUGUAGAGGUGAAAUUCGUAGAUAUUGGCCGGAACACCAGUGGCGAAGGCGGCCACCUGGCGCGGUAUUGACGCUGAGGCG